rnacentral:rRNA from 1 species
GACGAAGGAUGCAAGCGUUAUCCGGAUUCAUUGGGUUUAAAGGGAGCGUGGGUGGCCUUAUAAGUCAGUGGUGAAAUCUCUGGGCUUAACCCAGAAAUUGCCAUUGAUACUGUAGGGCUUGAGUAUAGUUGCCGUUGGCGGAAUAUGACAUGUAGUGGUGAAAUACAUAGAGAUGUCAUAGAACACCGAUUGCGAAGGCAGCUAACGAAACUAUAACUGACACUGAGGCUCGAAAGUGCGGGGAUCAAACAGG